CAGUCUCCAGAGAGGUCUCAUCUUUCACCAAGAUGCACCCAGAGCCUAUCAGAAUAAUUCACAAAGGAGAAAGACACCAAUGUCCAGCCCAGCUUUGACCACUGGAGAUUAUAUAACCUGUUGUCCAUGUCACACACCAUUGGGUUUUGGCAUCAGUGCAAAGAAUUAGCUGCAUCUCCAGUGAGAUAAACCUUUUAAUCUAUAUAGAGAGCGAGAAUAUUUUGGGCCACAGCUUUAUAGGCUCUGGUGCUUUGGACCUACAAAUAAAUCACUCACAAGAUAGAAAAUUUGGCAGAAAAUUUUGGACUCUAAAAUAGCCUGCAAACUAUUUAAUUUUAAAAAUUCAAUAAUUGCUAUCAAACACAUAUGAUGAAGAUGAACGGAUCUCCUGCAGUUUUCACAGUUUGGCACAGCAGAGAAUACCUGAAAGACAAGGUCACCAGAGCUGGGACUGCGUUUAUGCUUUUGAAUCUACGUCUUUCAUAAAGAAAAUAUCUUCACUCAGAAUUGAAACAUACACUGAUAAAGAAGAAUCAACAUCUAAUAAAGUAUUGCUUCUGACUCUGAACAAUUCAUAGAAAUGCUUAAUGAAAAUCAAUGCCAAAAAAUGCAUGUCACAUUACUUACUGCAGGAAAAUUGCUUCAUUAUAUAAUUACAUUCUUUUUUACAUUCAGUAUUUUUAUUUAAUGUUUAUUAUUAUUUGUCACCUUGUUUCAGCCUUGGCAUACACAUUCUCACUGUGAAAGCAACCAGUGAGUUAUUUGUUGUUAUUUUGUUCUGAUCAUAAAUAUACAUACUACAGCUUUUAUAAUAAAAAUUAUAACUACGUUUUGCAUGUGAGCAUGAAAA